UUGAAGAAGAGAAAUAAUAAGCGAGUUUGAGAGAGCUAGGAGAACUAACUGUGUUGUGUUAUGUUACUUGCUUUUAGUCCCACAUCGCUUGCAUUGUUUAUUUGUAUUUUGUUUAUAUAGCACAGUCACUCACCCUAAGCUUGUCCCUUCGGGGACAUCCGAUAAAAUUGGAACGAUACAGAGAAGAUUAGCAUGGCCCCUGCGCAAGGAUGACACGCACAAAUCGAGAAAUGGUCCAAAUUUUUUUGUCAUUUUCUUCCCCGAAAUUAUUAGGGUUUCUACGUUCCUCUUCUCUCUGAUUUUUUUUGCGUUUACGUUUUGUUCGUUUUUUCUUUGAUUUUGCGUUUAGGUUUAGGGUUUUGUUCGAUUUCUCUUUGAUUGUGCGUUGAGGUUUUGUUCGUUUUCUCUUUGAUUUUGCGUUUAGGGUUUUGUUUUUCUUUCAAAGCAGUUAUGGGUUGUUCAUCACGAUUUUGAAAUUGGGGGUGUCUCCUACUGAUUUUCAACCAUGUAUUAUUAUUAUUAUGUAUAGUUGAAUUUUGGUUAUUUUUCUUGACUUAAAUUACUUUCAUUUCGCUCAUCUGUCUAAUCAAAUGCUUCACCAUAUAGAUAAACAUCAUACCUUUCAAUUGAAUUCUGUGAUUGUGAAAACAUCAAAUUCACCAUAUAGAUUAUAACAUCAUAGCUUUCAAUUCAAUUCUGUCAUAGCAAAAACAUCAAAUUCACCAUAUAGAUUAUAACAUCAUAGCUUUCAAUUCAAUUCUGUCAUAGCAAAAACAUCAAAUAAUAGAUUGCCAAUUUGUGUUUCUAUCUCAUUCAUUCAUUCCUAUACACAAUUUUCACCCAUUUUCCCAUUCAAAGGGAAAACGAAAAAAUAUUUACAACAUGCCUGCCUAUAUUCUACCAAAUGUCAAUACUAAUCUAUGUUAGUCUUUUUCAGUUGCAGAUUUAUAGACCAUUCAAGCAACUAGUAACAUCCAAGAAAACGUGUUCCGUGCAAGGAAUUGUGAGCCCACCCAUUUGAUGAUCAUAUCCGAAUUCUUCCUCUGCUUCACUCAACAAGUUUAGGAAUUGUGAGCCCACCCAUUUGAUGAUCAUAUCCGAAUUCUUCCUCUGCUUCACUCAACAAGUUUAGAAAUGAUGGUUGGUUCAAGUAUGACGUGGGAAUCACAAACCGCUUCUUUUCCUCACCAACGUACACCGCAAGACAUCCCUUUGGCACUUUUGAUGAUGUUUGGCCAUUGCUAAAUGAUGCCCGUCUCAUAGCUGCAGGUAAACGGAAACCCAUCUCAAAUCUUUCAAAUAACAAGCUAAAGCUUUCAAAUUUAUCUUAUUUUUUAUGCUUGACUAUGUGAAUCGGCUCUGAUGGUUGGUUGUGAAGGAAGAUAGUGUAUUUAUAGUCUUCAAGAGUUUCUUCAAAUCCAUUUCUUUGAUAAACUAUUCUUGUUAAAGGAUGGGGUCCUUAAGAUGAGGGGUCACCACAUGCUAUUGUCUUGGACGGUCAAGGCCCCACCUUCUCAAUGAAAGCCCAGUACAUAGAUAGCCCAAUUCAGAGUCAAAUGAGAUGGCCGGUAGAUAAACUUAAUGCUUUGAUUUAUUAUCUUAUUUUUCUAGACACGCGUUAGACAUCUCACAUGUUUUCUUCAUAUUGAUAACACCCACUCAGUGCCGACAAAUAAAUUCUGCUGUUGUAUGAAUUCUAAUGUAUAUAGAUAAUGCUUAGUUGGGUUCAAAUCAAUCCAUCAUAAUUGUAGGGAGGCAACAGGGAACUUUCAUCAUUGGCUUGGUCAACAGUCCAAAUAUAUUAGUAGUACUUGUUUGACUUUGAACCCACAAGUAGCAGACAUACUUGGAUGGAUAUUUUUUAAGUUCAACAGUCUUAAGCUUCGCAGCCAAACUAUCUUUUAACUGUCAGUCAAACUAGUCAAAGCUCUCCUCCAUUUAAAACUUAUAAACAUACAUAUGUAGGCAAGAGGUGAUGGUGUAGCUCGGAUGACUUUCUAGCUUUAACAACUGUGAUGACUAUAUGACUCUUAACUAACAUCCAAUUUUACGAACAGUUGAGGUGAAUUCGAAGUAAAGGGUUGCCGCCGCCGUUGGUUAUAGGAUAACAACUAUGACCUCACCAAUCCAUAGGAAGAGCGCCGGUAGUUCAUUAUGCGUUAAUUAUAGGCCAUUUAAGCGAGAAGCUGUAAAAACAUAUCUUUUUCGUCGCAAGGAAUCAUAUGUAGACCUUCCGUUAGAUGACAGUAAUUGGAGGUUGUGAUAAUCUUUUGAUUAACACAAUACAAAUAUAGUACACUUUUAUGAGAGUAGUGGAGGGCUACUAGGAACUUAGAGUUAAAGGUUGCCACCCAUUGCACGUUUUCGGACAACAACUUCGGCGAUAGGUCCAUGUGAAGAGCACGAGAAGUCUUUGUGAUCGCGGUCCUUACCACCUUCUUCAAGCAUCACUAGAAAAUGCAACAUAUUAUGUGAUCAGUUAUUGGGAAUCGUCAGACCGCCCAUUGGAUGACGGUAACCGAAUUCCUCUUCAGCUUGACUAAGCAAUUCUUGAAAUAAAGGCUCGUUUAAAAAUGAUAUUGGAAUCAAGAACCUCCUCGCCUUCUCUCCAACAUACACUACAAGAUAGCCUUUUGGGACUUCCCCUUCUUUGCUAGAUGACUGGCUUGCACUAAAUGAUGAUCGUCUAAUACCAGCCUUUCUCUGGACAAGCUAUUGCUAUAAUAUGAGGUCAGAGGAAUGCAGGCAUGCUGAAAACAUGAGAAUCAUGUCAAUGCACUGGCUUAAAAAUUAAUCAUAUAUCAACAUUAAGUUGUGUUGUCAAUAUGAAGAGAACAUGUGCCAUGUCUGAUGCAUGUUUGAAAAGGAAUGAGUAGGAAUUGUACAAGUUUUGAGUUUAACAAGCACAAACAUCUCAUUUGAUUUUCAGUGGUUACGGUUUGCACUCUUGUUGAAUUUAUUGAUCCUUGGUAGAGGCAUCUAAAACAGCACCAUGUGAUCUAUUGUCUCAUGGGCCCCACCACUUUAACAAUAAUUUCUCAAACAAAUGGAUUUCAAGUUACUAUUGGAAACUAUAAAUGCACCAUCUUCCUUCACAAUCACAGCAUCACAAACCACUCGAGCAAACUAAUUUAGAUACACUUCUCAGCUUGUUUUUCACACCAUUAGAAGAUGGG